rnacentral:rRNA from 1 species
AAAUUGAAGAGUUUGAUCAUGGCUCAGAUUGAACGCUGGCGGCAGGCCUAACACAUGCAAGUCGAACGGUAACAGGAAGCAGCUUGCUGCUUUGCUGACGAGUGGCGGACGGGUGAGUAAUGUCUGGGAAACUGCCUGAUGGAGGGGGAUAACUACUGGAAACGGUAGCUAAUACCGCAUAACGUCGCAAGACCAAAGAGGGGGACCUUCGGGCCUCUUGCCAUCGGAUGUGCCCAGAUGGGAUUAGCUAGUAGGUGGGGUAAAGGCUCACCUAGGCGACGAUCCCUAGCUGGUCUGAGAGGAUGACCAGCCACACUGGAACUGAGACACGGUCCAGACUCCUACGGGAGGCAGCAGUGGGGAAUAUUGCACAAUGGGCGCAAGCCUGAUGCAGCCAUGCCGCGUGUAUGAAGAAGGCUUUCGGGUUGUAAAGUACUUUCAGCGGGGAGGAAGGGAGUAAAGUUAAUACCUUUGCUCAUUGACGUUACCCGCAGAAGAAGCACCGGCUAACUCCGUGCCAGCAGCCGCGGUAAUACGGAGGGUGCAAGCGUUAAUCGGAAUUACUGGGCGUAAAGCGCACGCAGGCGGUUUGUUAAGUCAGAUGUGAAAUCCCCGGGCUCAACCUGGGA